rnacentral:rRNA from 1 species
GGAUCAAUAUAACGGUCAUGCCGUUGGUAUGCACUGUUAUAAUUGGUUUCUCACCUUCUAAAGAACCGUAAUGCCAUUAAUUUGGUGUCACGGGGAAUUAGGACUGUUACCUUGAAAAAAUUAGAGUGUUUAAAGCAGGCUCACGCUUGAAUACAUUAGCAUGGAAUAAUGAAAUAGGACAUCCGAUUCUAUUUUGUUGGUUUCUAGGAUCGAUGUA